GACAGAGGGUGCAAACGUUGUUCGGAUUUACUGGGCGUAAAGCGCGUGUAGGCGGCUUUGCAAGUCGGAUGUGAAAGCCCACGGCUCAACCGUGGAAGUGCAUCCGAAACUGCAUGGCUGGAGUCUCGGAGAGGAAGGUGGAAUGCUUGGUGUAGAGGUGAAAUUCGUGGAUAUCAAGCAGAACACCUGCGGCGAAGGCGGCCCUUCUGGACGAUGACUGACGCUGAGACGCGAAAGCGUGGGGAGCAAACAGG
rnacentral:rRNA from 1 species